CCCCCCAAUGACCCCAAGUGCCCCCAAAUAACCCCAAGUGACCCCCCAAAUGACCCUAUGUGACCCCCAAAUGACCCUAUGUGACCCCCAAAUGACCCCAAAACGACCCCCAAUGACCCCAAGUGUCCCCAAAUGACCCCAAGUGACCCUUUGACCUGAAGUAACCCCCAAAUGACCCCAAGUGACCCCCAAUGGCCCCACGUGACCCCAAAUGCCCUCAAAUGACCCCAAAAUGACCCCCCCCACGACCCCCAAAGUGACCCCCAGAAUGACCCCACAAAUCACAACGACCCCAAAUAGAGAUGGCUCCAAAUCACAAUGAUGGCCACAAAUCACAAUGACCCCAAAUCACAAUGACCCCAAAUAGAGAUGGCCCCAAAUAGGGAUGACCCCAAAUAGGGAUGACCCCAAAUCACAAUGACCCCAAACAGAAAUGAUGACCCCAAAUCGCAACGACCCCAAAUAGUGAUGACCCCAAAUAGAGAUGUCCCCAAAUCACAAUGGCCCCAAACAGAGAUGACCCCAAACAGAGAUGAUGACCCCAAAUCACAAUGACCCCAAAUAGAGAUGACCCCAAAUCACAAUGACCCCAAAAGGGGUGAUCCCAAAUCCAUUGCCCCAAAUAGAGAUGAUCCCAAAUCACAAUGACGUCCCCAAAUCCGUGGCCCCAACUCCCAAUGAUGGCCCCAAAUAGAGAUGACCCCAAAUAGAGAUGACCCCAAAUCACAACGGCCCCAAAUAGAGAAAACCCCAAAUCGCAAUGACACCAAAUAGAGAUAACCCCAAACAGAGAUGACCCCAAAUCACAGUGAUGGCCCCAAAUCCAUGGCCCCAAAUAGAGAUGUCCCCAAAUCACAACGACCCCAAAUAGAGAUGACCCCAAAUAGAGAUGACCCCAAAUCACAAUGACCUCAAACAGAGAUGAUGACCCCAAAUCACAACGACCCCAAAUAGAGAUAACCCCAAACAGAGAUAAUGACCCCAAAUCACAACGACCCCAAAUAGAGAUAACCCCAAACAGAGAUGACCCCAAAUAGAGAUGUCCUCAAAUCACAGUGAACCCAAAUAGGGAUGACCCCAAACAGAGAUGAUGACCCCAAAUCACAACAACCCCAAAUAGAGAUAACCCCAAGUAGAGAUGGCCCCAAAUCACAACGACCCCAAAUAGGGAUGACCCCAAAUCACAAUGACCCCAAAUAGGGAUGACCCCAAAUAGGGAUGACCCCAAAUAGAGAUGACCCCAAAUCAAAACAACCCCAAAUAGAGAUGGCCUCAAAUUGAGAUGUUCCCAAACAGAGAUGUCCACAGAGCACAACAGCCCCAAAUAGAGAUAACCCCAAAUCACAAUGACCCCAAAUACAGAUAACCUCAAAUCACAAUGACCCCAAAUAGAGAUGACCCCAAACAGAGAUGAUGACCCCAAAUCACAACGACCCCAAAUGCGGAUGUCGCCACAUAGAGAUGUCCCCAAAUCACACUGAUGGCCCCAAAUCACAACGACCCCAAAUAGGGAUGACCUCAAAUAGAGAUGACCCCAAAUCUAUGUCCCCAAAUCACAAUGAGGACCCCAAAUCACAACGACCCUGAAAGGGGAUGACCCCAAAUCAAUGUUCCCAAAUAGAGAUGGCCCCAAAACCCAAUGAUGGCCCUAAAGAGAGACGACCCCAAAUCCCAAUGAUGGCCCCAAAGAGAGACGACCCCAAAUCCCAAUGAUGGCCCCAAAUCCCAAUGAUGGCCCCAAAGAGAGACGACCCCAAAUCCCAAUGAUGGCCCCAAAUCACAACGACCCCAAAUAGGGGUGACCCCAAAUAGAGAUGACCCCAAAUCUAUGUCCCCAAAUCACAAUGAGGACCCCAAAUCACAACGACCCUGAAAGGGGAUGACCCCAAAUCAAUGUCCCCAAAUAGAGAUGACCCCAAAUCCCAAUGAUGGCCCCAAAGAGAGACGACCCCAAAUCCCACUGAUGACCCCAAAUCCCAACAACCCCAAAUGCGGAUGUCGCCACAUAGAGAUGUCCCCAAAUCACACUGAUGGCCCCAAAUCACAACGACCCCAAAUAGAGAUGACCCCAAAUCUAUAUGACCCCAAAUCUAUGUCCCCAAAUCACAAUGAGGACCCCAAAUCACAACGACCCCAGAAGGGGAUGACCCCAAAUCAAUGUCCCCAAAUAGAGAUGACCCCAAAUCCCAAUGAUGGCCCCAAAGAAAGACGACCCCAAAUCCCACUGAUGACCCCGAAUCACAACGACCCGAAAAGGGGAUGACCCCAAAUCAAUGUCCCCAAAUAGAGAUGGCCCCAAAACCCAAUGAUGGCCCUAAAGAGAGACGACCCCAAAUCCCAAUGAUGGCCCCAAAGAGAGACGACCCCAAAUCCCAAUGAUGGCCCCAAAUCCCAAUGAUGGCCCCAAAGAGAGACGACCCCAAAUCCCAAUGAUGGCCCCAAAUCACAACGACCCCAAAUAGGGGUGACCCCAAAUAGAGAUGACCCCAAAUCUAUGUCCCCAAAUCACAAUGAUGACCCCAAAUCACAACGACCCCAAAAGGGGAUGACCCCAAAUCAAUGUCCCCAAAUAGAGAUGACUCCAAAUCCCAAUGAUGGCCCCAAAGAGAGACGACCCCAAAUCCCAAUGAUGACCCCAAAUCACAACGACCCCAAAUGCGGAUGUCGCCACAUAGAGAUGUCCCCAAAUCGCACUGAUGGCCCCAAAUCACAACGACCCCAAAAGGGGAUGACCCCAAAUCUAUGUCCCCAAAUAGAGGUGGCCCCAAAUCCCAAUGAUGGCCCCAAAUCCCAAUGAUGGCCCUAAAGAGAGACGACCCCAAAUUCCAAUGAUGGCCCCAAAGAGAGACGACCCCAAAUCCCAAUGAUGGCCCCAAAUCCCAAUGAUGGCCCUAAAGACAGACGACCCCAAAUCCCAAUGAUGGCCCCAAAGAGAGACGACCCCAAAUCCCACUGAUGACCCCAAAUCCCAACGAUCCCAAAUGCGGAUGUCGCCACAUAGAGAUGACCCCAAAUCACACUGAUGGCCCCAAAUCACAACGACCCCAAAUAGGGGUGACCCCAAAUCUAUGCCCCCAAAUCACAAUGGUGGCCCCAAAUCAGAACGACCCCAAAAGGGGAUGACCCCAAAUCAAUGUCCCCAAAUAGAGAUGACCCCAAGUCCCAAUGAUGGCCCCAAAUCCCAAUGAUGGCCCUAAAGAGAGACAACCCCAAAUUCCAAUGAUGGCCCCAAAGAGAGACGACCCCAAAUCCCAAUGAUGGCCCCAAAUCCCAAUGAUGGCCCUAAAGAGAGACGACCCCAAAUCCCAAUGAUGGCCCCAAAGAGAGACGACCCCAAAUCCCAAUGAUGGCCCCAAAUCACAACGACCCCAAAUGCGGAUGUCGCCACAUAGAGAUGUCCCCAAAUCACACUGAUGGCCCCAAAUCACAACGACCCCAAAUAGGGAUGACCCCAAAUCACACUGAUGGCCCCAAAUCCACGUCCCCAAAUGGAGAGGUCCCCAUGUCACGACAUCCCCACGUCACACUGUCCCCAUGUCGCGACAUCCCCAUGUCACGCUGACCCCAUGUCGUGACAUCCCCAUGACGUGACAUCCCCAUGUCACGACAUCCCCAUGUCAUACUGACCCCAUGUUGUGACAUCUCCAUGUCACACUGUCCCCAUGUCACGACAUCCCCAUGUCGCGACAUCCCCAUGUCACCAUAUCUCCAUGUCACACUGUCCCUAUGUCACGACAUCCCCAUGUCACACUGUCCCCAUGUCACGACAUCACAUUGUCACAAUGUCCCCAUGUCACGACAUCCCCAUGUCAUGACAUCCCCAUGAUCCGCUGCCCCCAUGUCACGACUUUCCUAUGUCACGACAUCACGAGGUCACGACAUCCCCAUGUCACGAUAUCCCCAUGUCACGUCAGCCCCAUGUCACGACAUCCUCAUGUCAGGACAUCCCCACGUCACGCUGUCCCCAUGUCACGACGUCCCCACAUCGCGACAUCCCCAUGUCGCGACAUCUCCAUGACAUGGCAUCCCCAUGACACGAUAUCCCCAUGUCGCGACAUUCCCAUGUCACAAUGUCCCCAUAUCGUGACACCCCCAUGACACGACAUCACCGUGUCACAGUAUCCCCAUGUCACGAGAUCUCCUGGACACGACAUCCCCAUGUAUGUCACGACAUCCCCACGUCACGAUAUCACCAUGUCACCCUCAUCCCCAUGUCACGACAUCCCCAUGUCACGCCAUUCUCAUGUCAGGACAUCCCCACGUCACGCUGUCCCCAUGUCACAACAUCCCCAUGUCACGACAUCCCCAUAUCACGAUACCCCUAUGUCACACUGUCCCUAUGUCACGACAUCCCCACGUCACCAUAUCCCCAUGCCACCCUCAUCCCCAUGUCACGACAUCCCCAUAUCAUGACAUCCCCAUGUCACGAUAUCCCCAUGUCACACUGUCCCCAUGUCAUGGCAUCCCCACGUCACGCUGUCCCCAUGUCACAACAUCCCCAUGUCACGACAUGCUUUUGUCACGACAUCCCCAUGUCACACUGUCUGCAUAUCACGGCAUCCCCACGUCACGCUGUCCCUAUGUCACGACAUCCCCAUAUCGCGACAUCCCCAUGUCACAUCAUCCCCAUGUCACGCUGUCCCCAUGUCAUGACAUCCCCAUAUCACACUGUCCCCAUAUCACGACAUCCCCAUGUCACGACACCCCCAUAGUAGGCUGUCCCCAUGUCACUGCAUCCCCAUGUCACGAUAUCCCCAUGUCACAACAUUCUCACGUCACGACAUCCCCAUGUCACACUGUCCCCACGUCACGACAUCUCCAUAUGACAUCAUCCCCAUGUCACGACAUCCCCAUGUCCCCCUGUCCCCAUGCCACACUGUGCCCAUGUCACAAUAUUUCCACGUCACGACAUCCCUAUGUCAAACUGUCCCCAUGUCACAACACCUCUGCGUCACGUUAUUUCCAUGUCACGACAUCCCCAUAUCAUGACAUCCCCAUGUCACACUUCCCCCAUGUCACGAUAUUUCCACGUCAUGACAUCCCACUGUCACACUGUCCCCAUGUCAAGACAUCCCCACGUCGUGACAUCCCCAUAUCACGACCUCUGCAUGUCACGACAUCCCCAUGUCACACUGUCCCCACGUCACGACAUGCCCAUAUCCCGACAUCCCCACCUCCCUACAUCUCCAUGUCACGACAUCCCCCUGUCACAGCAAUCCCUUGUCACGACAUCCGCAUGUCCUGACAUCUUUGUCAUGACAUCCCCAAUGUCCCGACAUCCCCAUGUCACGACAUCCCCCCAUAACGUCGCCCCCAUGUCACGACAUCCCCGUCGCAAUAUUCCCAUAUCACGACCUCUGCAUGUCCCGACAUCCCCACCUCCUGACCUCCCCAUGUCACGACAUCCCCGUCACGACACCCCCAUGUCAUGACAUCUCCACAUCCUGACAUCCCCAUGUCCCGAUAUUCCCCAUGUCAUGACAUGCUCCUGUCCCAACAUCUCCAUGUCACGACAUCCCCACCUCCUGACAUCCCCAUGUCACGACAUCCUCCCGUUAUGACCUCCCCAUGUCACGACAUCCCCACCUCCCGACUUCCCCAUGUCAUGACAUAUCCCCACAUCCCUGUCACAACCUCCCCAUGUCACGAUAUCCCCC
ensembl:lncRNA